UACGUAGGUGACCAGCGUUGUCCGGAUUUACUGGGCGUAAAGAGCGCGCAGGCGGUCGUUCAAGUCAAGUGUGAAAGCCCCCGGCUCAACUGGGGAGGGUCACUCGAUACUGAUCGACUUGAAGGCAGGAGAGGGAAGCGGAAUUCCCGGUGUAGUGGUGAAAUGCGUAGAUAUCGGGAGGAACACCAGUGGCGAAGGCGGCUUCCUGGCCUGUUCUUGACGCUGAGGUGCGAAAGCGUGGGGAGCAAAC
rnacentral:rRNA from 1 species